AGCGAACGCUGGCGGCAGGCCUAACACAUGCAAGUCGAACGAACUCUUCGGAGUUAGUGGCGGACGGGUGAGUAACACGUGGUAACGUGCCGUUAGGUUCGGAAUGACUCAGGGAAACUUGUGCUAAUACCGGAUGUGCCCUUCGGGGGAAAGAUUUAUCGCGUUUAGAGCGGCCCGCGUCUGAUUAGCUAGUUGGUUUUGUAAAGGCUCACCAAGGCGACGAUCAGUAGCUGGUCUGAGAGGAUGAUCAGCCACAUUGGGACUGAGACACGGCCCAAAAUCCUACGGGAGGCAGCAGUGGGGAAUCUUGCGAAAUGGGCGAAAGCAUGACGCAGCCAUGCCGCGUGACCGAUGAAGGUCUUAGGAUUGUAAAAUUCUUUAACCGGGGACGCUAAUGACGGUACCCGGAGAAGAAGCCCCGGCUAACUUCGUG
rnacentral:rRNA from 1 species